rnacentral:ribozyme from 1 species
ACACAAUGAAGAAAAGAAAAGCACAAGUGAAAGAAAUGAAUGCGUGCUUUCCUCGCUUCUCUCGUUCAUUACCAUUCAUUUCUCUUCACUUGUUCUUUUCGUUCUUCAU